rnacentral:rRNA from 1 species
ACAGCAGCCGCCGCGGUAAUACGUAGGGUGCAAGCGUUAAUCGGAAUUACUGGGCGUAAAGCGUGCGCAGGCGGUUCGUUAAGACAGAUGUGAAAUCCCCGGGCUUAACCUGGGAACUGCAUUUGUGACUGGCGGACUAGAGUAUGGCAGAGGGGGGUAGAAUUCCACGUGUAGCAGUGAAAUGCGUAGAGAUGUGGAGGAAUACCGAUGGCGAAGGCAGCCCCCUGGGCCAAUACUGACGCCCAUGCACGAAAGCGUGGGGAGCAAACAGGAUUAGAUACCCCAGUAGUCCCUGUCUCUUAUAC